rnacentral:misc_RNA from 1 species
UUAACUAUUAUGUGUUACUCGGACGACACUGACAUUCAGAGUUUGCAGAGCCUCUGGCGGGCGCGCGCCGGCCGGGGCCGCGCCGGCCCGCCAAAGCAACACGGUAGCAAUCACAGUGGGUGGGAGAUCUACCCGGAGGGGCGAGAACUCUGUAAUGAUCCCUCCGCAGGUUCACCUACGGAGA